rnacentral:rRNA from 1 species
UUAAGCGACUAAGCGUACACGGUGGAUGCCCUGGCAGUCAGAGGCGAUGAAGGGCGUGCUAAUCUGCGAUAAGCGCCGGUAAGGUGAUAUGAACCGUUAUAACCGACGAUACCCGAAUGGGGAAACCCAGUGUGACUCGUCACACUAUCAUUAACUGAAUCCAUAGGUUAAUGAGGCGAACCGGGGGAACUGAAACAUCUAAGUACCCCGAGGAAAAGAAAUCAACCGAGAUUCCCCCAGUAGCGGCGAGCGAACGGGGAGGAGCCCAGAGCCUGAAUCAGCAUGUGUGUUAGUGGAAGCGUCUGGAAAGGCGCGCGAUACAGGGUGACAGCCCCGUACACAAAAGCGCAUGUGCUGUGAGCUCGAUGAGUAGGGCGGGACACGUGGUAUCCUGUCUGAAUAUGGGGGGACCAUCCUCCAAGGCUAAAUACUCCUGACUGACCGAUAGUGAACCAGUACCGUGAGGGAAAGGCGAAAAGAACCCCGGCGAGGGGAGUGAAAAAGAACCUGAAACCGUGUACGUACAAGCAGUGGGAGCACAGGUUUACCUGUGUGACUGCGUACCUUUUGUAUAAUGGGUCAGCGACUUAUAUUCUGUAGCAAGGUUAACCGCAUAGGGGAGCCGGAGGGAAACCGAGUCUUAAUUGGGCGUUAAGUUGCAGGGUAUAGACCCGAAACCCGGUGAUCUAGCCAUGGGCAGGUUGAAGGUUGGGUAACACUAACUGGAGGACCGAACCGACUAAUGUUGAAAAAUUAGCGGAUGACCUGUGGCUGGGGGUGAAAGGCCAAUCAAACCGGGAGAUAGCUGGUUCUCCCCGAAAGCUAUUUAGGUAGCGCCUCGUGAACUCAUCUCCGGGGGUAGAGCACUGUUUCGGCUAGGGGGCCAUCCCGGCUUACCAACCCGAUGCAAACUGCGAAUACCGGAGAAUGUUAUCACGGGAGACACACGGCGGGUGCUAACGUCCGUCGUGAAGAGGGAAACAACCCAGACCGCCAGCUAAGGUCCCAAAGUCAUGGUUAAGUGGGAAACGAUGUGGGAAGGCCCAGACAGCCAGGAUGUUGGCUUAGAAGCAGCCAUCAUUUAAAGAAAGCGUAAUAGCUCACUGGUCGAGUCGGCCUGCGCGGAAGAUGUAACGGGGCUAAACCAUGCACCGAAGCUGCGGCAGCGACGCUUAUGCGUUGUUGGGUAGGGGAGCGUUCUGUAAGCCUGUGAAGGUGGCCUGUGAGGGUUGCUGGAGGUAUCAGAAGUGCGAAUGCUGACAUAAGUAACGAUAAAGCGGGUGAAAAGCCCGCUCGCCGGAAGACCAAGGGUUCCUGUCCAACGUUAAUCGGGGCAGGGUGAGUCGACCCCUAAGGCGAGGCCGAAAGGCGUAGUCGAUGGGAAACGGGUUAAUAUUCCCGUACUUGGUGUUACUGCGAAGGGGGGACGGAGAAGGCUAUGUUGGCCGGGCGACGGUUGUCCCGGUUUAAGCGUGUAGGCUGGUUUUCCAGGCAAAUCCGGAAAAUCAAGGCUGAGGCGUGACGACGAGGCACUACGGUGCUGAAGCAACAAAUGCCCUGCUUCCAGGAAAAGCCUCUAAGCAUCAGGUAACAUCAAAUCGUACCCCAAACCGACACAGGUGGUCAGGUAGAGAAUACCAAGGCGCUUGAGAGAACUCGGGUGAAGGAACUAGGCAAAAUGGUGCCGUAACUUCGGGAGAAGGCACGCUGACACGUAGGUGAAGUGAUUUACUCAUGGAGCUGAAGUCAGUCGAAGAUACCAGCUGGCUGCAACUGUUUAUUAAAAACACAGCACUGUGCAAACACGAAAGUGGACGUAUACGGUGUGACGCCUGCCCGGUGCCGGAAGGUUAAUUGAUGGGGUCAGCGCAAGCGAAGCUCCUGAUCGAAGCCCCGGUAAACGGCGGCCGUAACUAUAACGGUCCUAAGGUAGCGAAAUUCCUUGUCGGGUAAGUUCCGACCUGCACGAAUGGCGUAAUGAUGGCCAGGCUGUCUCCACCCGAGACUCAGUGAAAUUGAACUCGCUGUGAAGAUGCAGUGUACCCGCGGCAAGACGGAAAGACCCCGUGAACCUUUACUAUAGCUUGACACUGAACAUUGAGCCUUGAUGUGUAGGAUAGGUGGGAGGCUUUGAAGUGUGGACGCCAGUCUGCAUGGAGCCGACCUUGAAAUACCACCCUUUAAUGUUUGAUGUUCUAACGUGGACCCGUUACCCGGGUUGCGGACAGUGUCUGGUGGGUAGUUUGACUGGGGCGGUCUCCUCCUAAAGAGUAACGGAGGAGCACGAAGGUUGGCUAAUCCUGGUCGGACAUCAGGAGGUUAGUGCAAUGGCAUAAGCCAGCUUGACUGCGAGCGUGACGGCGCGAGCAGGUGCGAAAGCAGGUCAUAGUGAUCCGGUGGUUCUGAAUGGAAGGGCCAUCGCUCAACGGAUAAAAGGUACUCCGGGGAUAACAGGCUGAUACCGCCCAAGAGUUCAUAUCGACGGCGGUGUUUGGCACCUCGAUGUCGGCUCAUCACAUCCUGGGGCUGAAGUAGGUCCCAAGGGUAUGGCUGUUCGCCAUUUAAAGUGGUACGCGAGCUGGGUUUAGAACGUCGUGAGACAGUUCGGUCCCUAUCUGCCGUGGGCGCUGGAGAACUGAGGGGGGCUGCUCCUAGUACGAGAGGACCGGAGUGGACGCAUCACUGGUGUUCGGGUUGUCAUGCCAAUGGCACUGCCCGGUAGCUAAAUGCGGAAGAGAUAAGUGCUGAAAGCAUCUAAGCACGAAACUUGCCCCGAGAUGAGUUCUCCCUGAGACUUAGAGUCUCCUGAAGGAACGUUGAAGACGACGACGUUGAUAGGCCGGGUGUGUAAGCGCAGCGAUGCGUUGAGCUAACCGGUACUAAUGAACCGUGAGGCUUAACCUU